CCUACGGGUGGCAGCAGUGAGGAAUAUUGGUCAAUGGGCGAGAGCCUGAACCAGCAAAGCCGCGUGAAGGAUGAAGGAUCUAUGGUUUGUAAACUUCUUUUAUAUGGGAGUAAAGUGCGGUACGUGUUCCUUUUUGUAUGUACCAUAUGAAUAAGCAUCGGCUAACUCCGUGCCAGCAGCCGCGGUAAUACGGAGGAUGCGAGCGUUAUCCGGAUUUAUUGGGUUUAAAGGGUGCGUAGGUGGUUAAUUAAGUCAGCGGUGAAAGUUUGUGGCUCAACCAUAAAAUUGCCGUUGAAACUGGUUGACUUGAGUGUAUGUGAGGUAGGCGGAAUGCGUGGUGUAGCGGUGAAAUGCGUAGAUAUCACGAAGAACACCGAUUGCGAAGGCAGCUUACUAGACUAUAACUGACGCUGAGGCACGAAAGCGUGGGGAGCAAACAGGAUUAGAUACCCCUGUAGUC
rnacentral:rRNA from 1 species